rnacentral:rRNA from 1 species
CCAAAUUUCUAGCCCUCUCUUCCUUUUAUAAUCCUUCUCUAUUAAUCUUCUAAAAUUAAAACAUUUUUUAAACUUAGUAUAGGCGAUAAAAAAAUUUCUUGGAGCAAUAAAAAUAGUACCGCAAGGGAAAGAUGAAAUAAUAAUGAAAUAAAUUUUAAGCACAAAAAAGUAGAGUUUUCCCCUCGUACCUUUUGCAUCAUGGUCUAACUAGUCUAAUUAGGCAAAAAGAUUUUUAGUCUAACCUCCCGAAACUAAGCGAGCUAUCUUAGGACAGCUUUUAGAGCUAACCCGUCCCUGUUGCAAAAGGGUGGGAAGAUCUUAAGAUAGUGGUGACAAACCUAACGAGCCUAGUGAUAGCUGGUUACUUUUGAAAAGGAUUUUAGUCCAACUUAAAGCUUCUUAUAUUUUUUAAAAUUAAACUUUAAAGUUAUUCAAAUAAGGUUCAGCCUAUUUGAAAAAGGAUACAACCUCAACUAGUGGGUUAUUAAGUUUUUUUACGAUCAAGUAGGCCUAAAAGCAGCCACCUUAAACAAAAGCGUCAAAGCUUUAUCAUUUUUUUAAACACAAUCUCCUAAUUCCCAUCCAACCCCUUACCACUAAAAAAGUAACUCUAUACUUCUAUAGAAGAUUUUAUGUUAGAACAAGUAACAAGAAGUUAGCCCUUCUCUUAAAUGUAAAUUUAUAUCAACUAGGACACCCCAUCGAUAAUUAACGCCCUUAAUUCUAUAGUAGUAACCCCCAAAGAAAAACCUACUUUAUUUUACGUUAACCUAACACAAGAACAUUUCAAGAAAGAUUAAAAAGAAAAGAAGGAACUCGGCAAAUAUUAGCCUCGCCUGUUUACCAAAAACAUCGCCUCUUGAUCUUCCAUAAGAGGUCCAGCCUGCCCAGUGACAUUGUUCAACGGCCGCGGUAUCCUAACCGUGCGAAGGUAGCGUAAUCACUUGCCCUUUAAAUGAGGACUAGUAUGAAUGGCCCCACGAAAGCUAUACUGUCUCCUUUCCUCAAUCAGUUAAACUAAUCUUCCCGUGAAGAAGCGGGAAUAAAAUUAUAAGACGAGAAGACCCUAUGGAGCUUUAAACAAUUGAAACAUUUGUAUUCAAAAUUUUCACUUCCGAAAUAUAUAAAUAAUUAACCUCUCUGUUUCUUGUUUUAGGUUGGGGUGACCACGGAGAAUAAAUCAACCUCCAUGAUGAACAGGAAUUUUUAUUUCUAAGCAAAAAACCACACUUUUAUGCAUCAAUAAAUUGACUCUCAUUGACCCAAUAAAUUGAUCAACGAACCAAGUUACCCUAGGGAUAACAGCGCAAUCCAUUUCAAGAGCUCUUAUCGACAAAUGGGUUUACGACCUCGAUGUUGGAUCAGGGUAUCCUAGUGGUGCAACCGCUACUAAUGGUUCGUUUGUUCAACGAUUAAAACCCU